rnacentral:rRNA from 1 species
AGAGUUUCUUUCUGGCUCAGGAUGAACGCUGGCGGCGUGCCUAACACAUGCAAGUCGAACGGGGUUAAAGAGAAAUUUUCUUAUGGACCUUUAACUUAGUGGCGGACGGGUGAGUAACGCGUGGAUAACCUGCCUCGCACAGGGGGAUAGCAGCUGGAAACGGCCGGUAAUACCGCAUAAGACCACGGUCCCGCAUGGGACAGGGGUAAAAGAUUUAUCGGUGCGAGAUGGAUCCGCGUCUGAUUAGCUUGUUGGCGGGGUAACGGCCCACCAAGGCAACGAUCAGUAGCCGGCCUGAGAGGGUGAACGGCCACAUUGGGACUGAGACACGGCCCAAACUCCUACGGGAGGCAGCAGUGGGGAAUAUUGCACAAUGGGCGCAAGCCUGAUGCAGCAACGCCGCGUGAGUGAAGAAGUAUUUCGGUAUGUAAAGCUCUAUCGGCAGGGAAGAAAGGCCCGAAAGGGAGAUGACGGUACCUGACUAAGAAGCCCCGGCUAACUACGUGCCAGCAGCCGCGGUAAUACGUAGGGGGCAAGCGUUAUCCGGAUUUACUGGGUGUAAAGGGAGCGCAGACGGCAGUGCAAGUCUGAUGUGAAAGCCCGGGGCUCAACCCCGGAACUGCAUUGGAAACUGUACAGCUUGAGUGUCGGAGGGGUAAGCGGAAUUCCUAGUGUAGCGGUGAAAUGCGUAGAUAUUAGGAGGAACACCGGUGGCGAAGGCGGCUUACUGGACGAUCACUGACGUUGAGGCUCGAAAGCGUGGGGAGCAAACAGGAUUAGAUACCCUGGUAGUCCACGCUGUAAAC